rnacentral:tRNA from 2 species
GGAGAAGUGGCCGAGCUGGCUGAAGGCGCACGCCUGCUAAGCGUGUAAUGGGGAAACUCAUUCGGGGGUUCAAAUCCCCCCUUCUCCGCCA